rnacentral:siRNA from 1 species
UGGGUGGUUUUGGCAUUGCUUUA